AAAGAUGAUCAGGUUGAUAGGUCAGAGGUGGAAGCGUGGUGACAUGUGGAGCUGACUGAUACUAAUCGAUCGAGGACUUAACCAA
rnacentral:ncRNA from 1 species